rfam:Cavia porcellus supercont2_19 genomic scaffold, whole genome shotgun sequence.
GUGGGUUUAGCUCAGCAGCAUGAGCACCUGCCUUGCAAGCAGGUGGUCGUGAGUUCAAUCCCCGGUACUGAUA